GAAAUGCGAUAAGUAAUGUGAAUUGCAGAAUUCAGUGAAUCAUCGAAUCUUUGAACGCACCUUGCGCCUCUUGGCUAUUCCGAGGGGCAUGCCUGUUUGAGUAUCAUGAACACCUCAACUCUCACGGUUUGCCCGUGAUGAGCUUGGACUUCUGGAGGUUUUGCCGGCCUGCGGUCGGCUCCUCUCAAAUCGAUCAGCUUACCAGUGUUUGGUGGCGUCAUGGGUGUGAUAACUAUCUACGCUUGUGGCCGUCUGCCAGGUAACCUUCAGCGAUGGAGGUUCGCUGGGGCUCAUAAACGUCUCUCCCCAGCGAAGACAGCUUUUUGAACGUUCGAUCUCAAAUCAGGUAGGACUACCCGCUGAACUUAA
rnacentral:misc_RNA from 1 species